UCAAAUUAAGUUGAUUUGAUAUUUCGAUUCCGUGACCAUUUACACACUACACCCAGCGUGUAGGUAAAGCAAACAGAACACGCACUAUUUCUGAAAUUUAAAAAAUACAAAAUUCCCAAAUGCAAAAUUAAAUUCAAAAUUUACGCAAUCCAAAAUUUUAAUUUCCUUUAAUUUUUCCAAUCGCGUCUUUCUAUCAAUUAAACUGUCCAAAUUUAGUAUUUUCCACAUUUCAAAAUCUUGAUUUCACGUUGGCACCGGGAUAUUCCAAUUCACGGUCUCAGUUGCUCGAGUCUUGAAAUUCAGAAUUUUGGAUAUCUGCUUUGAUGAGUUAGUGUUCAUGAGUUGCAUGUGCUGGAUUUUUCAAUGGAAACAGUAGUUGAUAUUGUGGGAAAUGAGGAAGCUAAAGUUAAAGAUAGUGUAGCCGCAUUAAAUAAGCCCACUCCAACUUCCCUGCGAAAGAUUGCCGAUCCUGUUGUAUACCAGCUUGUUCGGGUUGAUGGAAAUGGGAGAUUAGUGCCUGCGACUGAGGAUGAAGUUAUGGCAGUAGAAGACUUGCUCGAAGAUGACAAGAGCGAAAAUAGAUUUGUUUCAAACUCUGGAGGAACUGUGGAAUGCAAUACAAAUUGCGAACAUGAUCUGGAUGAACUUCAGAUCAAAGCAUCAGAAGGUUUACCACUUGAUAAUGUAGAACUUGAUACGGAAAUGUUGAAUGUGCCACCCGACCCUGAAGCUGAUUUUGAGGAAGUAGAUGUUCAACCUGAGCAAAGCAUUGCUCUGUUCGCUCCAGCUGCAGAUUAUGGCAGUAGUUUCCAACUUGAGGGAUACUCAAAACCUUCCACUGGAAUGAUCGAGAAUGGAACCUCCACUUCUGCUGUUGUUACUAGUUCAAAGCCUGAUUUUUCUACGUUGAAAGGUGAGAUACAUCUGGAUAAUCUUACAGUAAAAGAACUUCAGGAGACUUUCAAAGCAACUUUUGGAAGGGAAACUUCUGUCAAGGAUAAGCAAUGGCUCAAGAGGAGGAUAUUAAUGGGUUUGACCAAUUCAUGUGAUUUCUCAACCACAACUUUGGUGAUCAAAGACAAUGGAGUGGUAAAGAAAGGUAAAGAAGAAAUCUGUAAUAAUGUGGAACAUAAUAUUUCAAUGGAUCCCGAAGUUGGAUCUACGAGCGAGAACUGUGAAAAUUCACCAACUUUCCAUGAUAUACGAAAGGAAAACCACUCAAAUGCUACCGGCAUGGAAUCACAGAAUUACCUGGUGGUGGAUAAUUAUGGAAGUGAAAAUACUAACACAGAACAACGAGCAACAAAAAGAGCCCGAAAGCCUACCAGACGAUAUAUUGAAGAACUUUCAGAAGGGGAAUCUAGGGAUUCUUGUUCAAAGUUUAUCUCCUCAGUUGGACACCGUGCGUAUAGUCAGCCAUCCACGAACAUGCAUGCAACACCUGGUCAAAAAGUUGGAUUAGAUGGAAGAUGGCUUGUAAGGCGAGACUCGCUUGGAGGUUCUGGAGUUCAGGUUCCAUAUGUUUCUCGGAUACGGCGGAGCCGUCCGAGGGAAAACUUUAUGACCCUCAUGCCUGUUACUUCAUCCGAUAAGCUGUACAGUGAAAGGAAAGUUGAGCUGGAGAAGGAGCUGAAAAACUUGAAUUCGUAUGAGUAUUCAGAUGAUGACGUGGUAACUAUGCCUGCAGCAAAUGGAAGAUUGAGGAGGAAACAUCAUCGACCUUGGACUCUAAGCGAGGUUGUCAAGCUAGUUGAAGGGGUGGCCAAAUAUGGUGCUGGUAGAUGGUCAGAGAUAAAACGCCUUGCCUUCGCAUCAUAUUCUUAUCGAACUUCAGUUGAGCUCAAGGACAAGUGGAGGAAUCUGCUGAGAGCUAGUUUUGCACAGUUGCCAGCUGAAAAGGGGGUGAGCAAAUUGUUCCUUUUGCAGUCACAUUAGACUCUCAGUUGCAACUCUUCUGCACUCAAAAUGCUCGUCUUAAAGUUGAUCUGGAAAGAAGAUAUCUACAAAUUUAAAAUGCAGAGUUCCCGUAAGCAUGCUUCAAUUCCCAUUCCUGCUCCAAUUCUGUUACGAGUAAGAGAACUGGCUGAAAUGCAAGCACAGGUUCCUGCUGGAGACACUGGUAGCGAUAGAAAUAGUGCACAUAAAUAAGCCCAGGGAUCCCGUAGUGUACAUACCAGAUUUUAGUUGUCUAAUUUAGGAUCAAGUGCGAUAGAGCUGUCAUAAGUUCUGUAACUGUCUGUUAAUAUCGUUGAUUGCUGGGCGUUGUAUGAACGAAUAAUGGUUUGUGAACUUCGAAUACGAUCGUUUGUGUUUGUGUUUUUGUUUUGAGGCUGGAGUCAUUUCAAGUUGCCAUGUGUUUCAGAUUUUUA